GGUCUGAUGGUCUAGUGGUAUGAUUCUCGCUUAGGGUCUACCCUACAGCUUAUAACUCAGUAUGCGAGAGGUCCCGGGUUCAACUCCCGGUCAGACCC